rnacentral:rRNA from 1 species
GACGAGGGGUCCAAGCGUUGUUCGGAAUCAUUGGGCGUAAAGAGUGUGUAGGCGGUGCUCUAAGUUCGGUGUGAAAUCUCCUGCUUAACUGGGAGGGUGCGCCGGAAACUGGAGUGCUCGAACGUGGGAGAGGAAAGCGGAAUUCCUGGUGUAGCGGUGAAAUGCGUAGAUAUCAGGAGGAACACCUGCGGUGUAGACGGCUUUCUGGACCAUUGUUGACGCUGAGACACGAAAGCGUGGGUAGCAAACAGG